rnacentral:rRNA from 1 species
UAUGAAAGUUAGAAGGACUCCGCUUCGGUGGAGAGCGUACACAGGUGCUGCAUGGCUGUCGUCAGCUCGUGUCGUGAGAUGUUGGGUUAAGGUCCCGCAACGAGCGCAACCCCUGCAUUCAGUUGCCAUCGGGUGAAGCCGGGCACUCUGGAAGGACUGCCAUCGACAAGAUGGAGGAAGGUGGGGACGACGGUCAAGUCAUCAUGGCCCUUAUGUCCAGGGCGACACACGUGCUACAAUGGCCGGCACAACGGGAAGCGAGUUCGCGAGGACGAGCGGAUCCCUUAAAGCCGGUCGCAGUUCGGAUUGAAGUCUGCAACUCGACUUCAUGAAGCUGGAAUCGCUAGUAAUCGCAGAUCAGCCAAGCUGCGGUGAAUACGUUCCCGGGCCUU